CCCUUAGAUGUUCUGGGCCGCACGCGCGCUACACUGACGAAGUCAGCGAGCAUGUCCUACGCCGACAGGUGCGGGGAAUCUUGUCAAACUUCGUCGUGAUGGGGAUUGAUUUUUGAAAUUCUUGAUCAUAAACGAGGAAUUCCUAGUAAGCGCAAGUCAGCAGCUUGCGUUGAUUACGUCCCUGCCCUUUGUACACACCGCCCGUCGCUACUACCGAAUGAAUGGUUUAGUGAGAUCUUCGGAUUGGCGCCACUGCAGCUCAGCAAUGGGCUUGGUGGAUGCCGAAAAGUUGAUCAAACUUGAUCAUUUAGAGGAAGUAAAAGUCGUAACA
rnacentral:rRNA from 1 species